rnacentral:lncRNA from 1 species
CAGACGGUCUCUGGAGAGUGCUCGGUUCGUUCCACACAAGUCAUAUAAGCCGGCGCCAAGUCGCGGACUUUAAAUUGGAAAGAACCAGGUGGAAAUCGCCCACAGGCAAAACGAGAGCCGAUCAGUCGUUGCACAGCCUUAGAGCCGAAAGUAAACCUAGGUCUUGCCUUAAACCCAGUCCUACUGGUCCACUAACAUCUCAAGACAUGAUACGAGAUCUUAAAAACAUGUCCCAUCGUCUAUAUCUAAUAAGCAAAACUCCAAAACGUUUCCGAACGCCCUCAGCAAACGAACGCCCUCAGCAAACGAACAAAACUAAAAAAAAAAACAAAUUGCCCGUCGAUUGGCCCCGACGGACAAACCCAAAACGUUCUCAAAAAAGAACUCGCAGUCUAACAUUUCGUAAAAGUAAAGGUUCU